rnacentral:rRNA from 1 species
GACGAACGCUGGCGGCGUGCUUAACACAUGCAAGUCGAACGAUGAACCCGGAGCUUGCUCCGGCGGAUUAGUGGCGAACGGGUGAGUAACACGUGAGUAACCUGCCCUUGACGCUGGGAUAACUGCUAGAAAUGGUAGCUAAUACCGGAUACGACCCUCGGUGGCAUCACCAGGGGGUGGAAAGAAUUUCGGUCAAGGAUGGACUCGCGGCCUAACAGCUAGUUGGUGAGGUAACGGCUCACCAAGGCGACGACGGGUAGCCGGCCUGAGAGGGUGACCGGCCACACUGGGACUGAGACACGGCCCAGACUCCUACGGGAGGCAGCAGUGGGGAAUAUUGCACAAUGGGCGCAAGCCUGAUGCAGCGACGCCGCGUGAGGGAUGACGGCCUUCGGGUUGUAAACCUCUUUCAGCACCGACGAAGCGCAAGUGACGGUAGGUGCAGAAGAAGGACCGGCCAACUACGUGCCAGCCGCCGCCGUAA